rnacentral:rRNA from 1 species
GACGAACGCUGGCGGCGUGCUUAACACAUGCAAGUCGAACGGCAAGGCCCUGCUUUUGUGGGGUGCUCGAGUGGCGAACGGGUGAGUAACACGUGAGUAACCUGCCCUUGUCUUUGGGAUAACUUCAGGAAACUGGGGCUAAUACCGGAUAGGAGCUCCUGCUGCAUGGUGGGGGUUGGAUAGUUUCGGCGGUUGGGGAUGGACUCGCGGCUUAUCAGCUUGUUGGUGGGGUAGUGGCUUACCAAGGAUUUGAAGGGUAGCCGGCCUGAGAGGGGGACCGGCGACAAUGGGACUGAGAGACGGCCCAGAGGGCUACGGGAGGCAGCAGGGGGGAAUAUUGCACAAUGGGCGGAAGCCUGAUGCAGCAGCGCCGCGGGCGGGAUGACGGCCUUCGGGUUGAAAACCGCUUUCGCCUGUGACGAAGCGUGAGUGACGGUAAUGGGUAAAGAAGCACCGGCUAACUACGUG